rnacentral:rRNA from 1 species
UCCAGACUCCUACGGGAGGCAGCAGUGGGGGAUAUUGGACAAUGGGGGAAACCCUGAUCCAGCGACGCCGCGUGAGUGAAGAAGUAUUUCGGUAUGUAAAGCUCUGUCAGCAGGGAAGAAAGAAAUGACGGUACCUGACCAAGAAGCCCCGGCUAACUACGUGCCAGCAGCCGCGGUAAUACGUAGGGGGCAAGCGUUAUCCGGAUUCACUGGGUGUAAAGGGAGCGUAGACGGCCAAGCAAGCCAGGGGUGAAAGCCCGGGGCCCAACCCCGGGACUGCCCUUGGAACUGCAUGGCUGGAGUGCGGGAGAGGCAGGCGGAAUUCCUGGUGUAGCGGUGAAAUGCGUAGAUAUCAGGAGGAACACCGGCGGCGAAGGCGGCCUGCUGGACCGCGACUGACGUUGAGGCUCGAAAGCGUGGGGAGCGAACAGGAUUAGAUACCCGAGUAC